rnacentral:rRNA from 1 species
AUUGAACGCUGGCGGCAUGCCUAACACAUGCAAGUCGAACGGCAGCACAGCCCGCAAGGGUGGGUGGCGAGUGGCGGACGGGUGAGGAAUACAUGGGAAUCUACCCUGUCGUGGGGGAUAACGUAGGGAAACUUACGCUAAUACCGCAUACGACCUCCGGGUGAAAGCGGCGGACCGCAAGGCGUCGCGCGACUGGAUGAGCCCAUGUCGGAUUAGCUAGUUGGCGGGGUAAAGGCCCACCAAGGCGACGAUCCGUAGCUGGUCUGAGAGGAUGAUCAGCCACCCUGGAACUGAGACACGGUCCAGACUCCUACGGGAGGCAGCAGUGGGGAAUAUUGGACAAUGGGCGCAAGCCUGAUCCAGCUAUGCCGCGUGGGUGAAGAAGGCCUUCGGGUUGUAAAGCCCUUUUGUACGGGAAGAAAUCCUGUCGGUUAAUACCCGGCGGGGAUGACGGUACCGUAAGAAUAAGCACCGGCUAACUUCGUGCCAGCAGCCGCCGUAA